rfam:Halioglobus sp. HI00S01 HI00S01_c1, whole genome shotgun sequence.
CGGGGCGUAGCGCAGUCUGGUAGCGCACCACACUGGGGGUGUGGUGGUCGUAGGUUCAAAUCCUGCCGUCCCGA